rnacentral:rRNA from 1 species
AGGACGAACGCUGGCGGCGUGCUUAACACAUGCAAGUGGAGCGACGAACCGGGGCUUGCCCCGGGGCAGAGCCGCGAACGGGUGAGUAACACGUGGGUAACCUACCUCGAUGACCGGGACAACCCGAGGAAACUCGGGCUAAUACCGGAUGUGAUCCUCUCCUUUAAGGGAGUUGAUGAAAGAUAGCUUUGGCUUUCGCAUCGAGACGGGCCCGCGGCCCAUUAGCUUGUUGGUGGGGUAACGGCUCACCAAGGCGACGACGGGUA